rnacentral:tRNA from 1 species
UCUGUUAGCUCACUUGUUGGAGCAUCAGACUUAUAAUCUGAGGGUCGAGGGUUCAAGUCCCUAAUCACAGA